rnacentral:misc_RNA from 1 species
ACAUGGUUGGUACUUACGUUAAUGUUUCAAAGAAACCUACUGGCACGGAUGGUACUUACAUUAACGCUUCAAAUAAACCUGUUGGUUACCAAUGAAGGUCUAUGUUCUACAGAUGAACAAAAGGAACCUAGAACCUUCCAGAACUGAAUGAAACCUUGUGAGCAACCAAUCAGUCUCUUUGUCAUCAUUUCAUGGACACUUUUGCAAGCACUGAAGAUUUGAACUAAAUAUCUGAUACUACCAUAAAAUUAUUGAUUUCUGUUAUAUGCUAUAACUGCUUUGUUUUUGUAUAUAAUUCAUUGACAAUUUCUUGAUUUAUCUUCAGUCUUUAUAAAUGUCUAUCUAUAACUAAACAUUUGCAUCAAUGAAGUAAACCCAGUUAAAUUUCAGUAUUUCUUUCCUCUUAUAUGAGUCAUCAUCAUUUAAACACAGUAUGGAUAUUUAGCAACAUAGUUAUGAAUAUCAUUGAUUUUUGGAACAUAUUUUAGAAUAAUCUCUUGAAAAAAAAUUAAGAAUUUGUAUUCAUGCCAAUUUUCUACAAAUGACCAACAAUUAUGAUUUGGGUUUUUCCACAUUAAACAUAUUCUUGAAACCAUUUACAACUUCAUGAUUAAAAUUUGUGGUGUUCACUUUACAAAAGUUCAUUAUAUACUUUGUUAUUUUACUGCAUUGAAAUCAGUGUAUUCAGAUUUCAUUCUGUCACAUUUAUACAUACAUAAAUUCAGAAUUAUAAUCCUUGAUAUUAUCAAGUUUUAAAUUCAAUCUUUUCAGCCCUUUUAAAUCCAAGGUCAUUUUUUUAAAUACUAAAAUUAUGUGUACUAGAAUUCAUUUUUCUUCUUGGUGAUUGUGAAACUAUGUGUUUUUUAUACCCACAUUUAACCAUUCUUUCUAUAAAGAAAUACUUAUAUGCUAUACCAUUAUAAUAUACUUACUAAAAGAUCACUGUACAUAUAUGGAAUUCUUCCAACAAUAAUGCAUGUUAGAGAUGUUCCAAUGUUAAGUCUGUCAUUGCUUGUGAACAGUUAUCACAUUGUUCCUACAAAAGUGCUUGAUUAUUCUUGUCUUAAAUAAAUACCUUGAAAUAUUUAAUUUCUUACCAAUUCUAUUUUUCUAUUCAAAUAAAUAUGGAUUAUUGUGCAUUUUAAUUAGUAAUUUUAUCACUAUUUCAGCAAGUACUAUCAAGGCUAGUCUUUGCUAAUAAGGUCAUAAAUAAGCCAAAAUAUAUUCAGAGCUGAUAAAAAUAUCAAAAUAUUAUCAUUAAUUAAUAUCAUGAUGUUUUUAGCUGCUUAUUUAUUUCUAGUUUAUUUUCUAACUCUCUAUGCAUUAAAUAUGUUAUAACUAGCUUUUCUUUGUUUUCGUACCUAAAAACUAUCUCACAGACAUCAAGCUAAGUUACGAGAAGUUAAUAGAAGUCAAAUGCACUUAUGAACAAUUCGUAUCAUAUCCUAAGACAGACAAAGAUUUGUUCCUUUUUUAAUAAUAUUACAUAAGAAUGUAAAUACUGGCUUUUCAAGAACAGUUAAUUUCCUUUUGUUAUAAUUUAGUCAAUUCCCUUUCUCUCUCUCUCUCUCUCUCUCUCUCUCUCUCUCUCUCCUCUCUCUCUCUCUCUGUGCAUGUGUGUGUGUGUGUGUGUAAAACAGGCUUAAAGUAAGGUAUAAAUUAAAAAUACUAAAUUUGUAUUUUUUUGUAAGAUACAUAAUUUUUCUUCUUGUGUAUCUAUUCAGGCGGUCUAAGGUUUAUGUAAUCUAUUAGAAACUCUUACCCUUUCACACUGUCUCAUUUUCUUAUCUUUUCAUUUUCAUUUUCUUCAUUGUUACUUUUUCAUUUUCUCAUGUCUUGUUCAAUAAAUGCUUUUGACUUCUAUUAAUUUCUCUUAAUUUAGCUUAGUGUCCCCUAUUUUUUCUUCAAUUUUAUGUACAUUUUUUCAUACAUUGUUAUGAGCCUUACUCAUUGAUAUAACACAAUGUCUGCAGUAAGAUUUGAAUUCAUGACAAAGUGUUCACUACUUCAGUACUUUUACUUUUAUAUCUACUUUUCUUAACCCUAAUUUUGCUAACCGCUUUUAUUAUCGCUAUGAUUUUAACUCAGUAAAUAAAGAUGAAUUAUACAUUC